rnacentral:rRNA from 1 species
GCGUGGCUUCCGGAGCUAACGCGUUAAAUCGACCGCCUGGGGAGUACGGCCGCAAGGUUAAAACUCAAAUGAAUUGACGGGGGCCCGCACAAGCGGUGGAGCAUGUGGUUUAAUUCGAUGCAACGCGAAGAACCUUACCUACUCUUGACAUCCAGAGAACUUAGCAGAGAUGCUUUGGUGCCUUCGGGAACUCUGAGACAGGUGCUGCAUGGCUGUCGUCAGCUCGUGUUGUGAAAUGUUGGGUUAAGUCCCGCAACGAGCGCAACCCUUAUCCUUUGUUGCCAGCGGUUCGGCCGGGAACUCAAAGGAGACUGCCAGUGAUAAACUGGAGGAAGG